CGUAGGGUGCGAGCGUUAAUCGGAAUUACUGGGCGUAAAGCGUGCGCAGGCGGUUUUGUAAGACAGAUGUGAAAUCCCCGGGCUCAACCUGGGACCUGCAUUUGUGACUGCAAGGCUAGAGUACGGUAGAGGGGGAUGGAAUUCCGCGUGUAGCAGUGAAAUGCGUAGAUAUGCGGAGGAACACCGAUGGCGAAGGCAAUCCCCUGGACCUGUACUGACGCUCAUGCACGAAAGCGUGGGGAGCAAACAGGAUUAGAUACCCUGGUAGUCCACGCCCUAAGCGAUGUCAACUGGUUGUUGGGUCUUUACUGACUCAGUAACGAAGCUAACGCGUGAAGUUGACCGCCUGGGGAGUACGGCCGCAAGGUUG
rnacentral:rRNA from 1 species